rnacentral:piRNA from 1 species
UCCAGACACGCCGCUUUAAGAGCUUGUAACA